rnacentral:misc_RNA from 1 species
AGAGAGAGAGAGAGAGAGAGCACACAUUGAAAUUAUUGAGUAAAUGAACGAAAUCAUUUUUCUGGGCAAUACAAGUUUUGGAUGGUAACAAACAAAAUCUGACAAGAGGGGGCACUCAACAUGUAGGAUGCAUCUGUACUAGGAACACCUUUCUAUUCCAGACUAAUUAUUACCCCAAGAUAUGUAAAUUUGAUUCCAACAGAGAAAACCUCUCAUCUUAAAGAGCUGGUCAACCAGAAACCAAAAAUCCCACUCUAGAGUAAAGAAUCGAACUGAAAAGAAUAUUACCUUAGUCUAUCAAUAUGGUCAGUCUACAAACAAUUCAACAAAUAGGAAUGGAAUAAAGUUCAGCCUAGCAAAUCUUGCAUCAAAUGCUGCUGCUUUCACUAGCAGAAAGUGAGGGGCCUUCAGAUUUGACUAGAAGAGUGCUUUUGCUACCAAUAUCAAGCCCCUGCAAAAGCCCAAGAGGAUCCUGUGGCAGUAUCUCCAGCAAGGCAUGUGAAUGAGAUGCAGCAGCCAUAGGCAUGUUAAAUUGAAAGGGAUGAAGCUGUGGCAUUUGCAUGUUUUGGGUGUUA